CCUGUGGAACUGACACAUCCCUCAACAGUGCUUGUACCAGCAUAAUGCCAGCCAAGCCUGCUCCCAUCAAGAAAGCCCCAGCCAAGAAGGCUGCAGCAGCCAAACCUGCGGAGAAGCCAGCUGAACCAGCACCCCCUCCACCUCCAGCCCCAGAACCAGAGCCAGUUCCAGUGGUAGCUCCUGAGCCAGCCCCUGUCCCCGAGCCAGCUCCAGCCCCUGAAGCUGCUCCAGCUGCUGAGGCUCCAGCUGAACCUGCCCCAGCAGAGCCUACCCCAGCAGCAGAGGCUGCCCCAGCAGCAGAGGCUGCCCCUCCUGCAGAAGCAAAACCUGCUGAAGCAGCAGCUGCUCCCCCUCCCCCACCUCCUGAGCCAGAGAAGCCCAAAGAUGUCCCCACAAGCGAGCCACUGAAUUUGAGUGUAGUGGAUGUUAAUAACAACUCUGUGACCCUCAAGUGGUCUGCUCCAGAGAAUGUGGGACCCUCGGGACUUGAUGGCUAUACUGUGGAGUACUGCAAGAAAGGAACUCAAGACUGGGUGGUAGCUAACCAAGACCUGGUGGGGGUCACUCGCUACACAGUUAAAAACUUGAACAUGGGAGACAAACUCUUACUGCGUGUAAAGGCAGUUAACCCUGGUGGUCCCAGUGCCCCAGCCACACUUGAACAAGCUGUGCUUAUCCGGGAGAUCGCUGAGCGUCCCAAGAUUCGAGUCCCACGUCAUCUCAGGCAGACCUUUGUUAAGAAUGUUGGAGAGACAGUCAACUUGGUUAUUCCUUUCCUGGGUAAACCAAAGCCACAAGUGACCUGGACAAAGAAUGGUCAACCUCUGGAUCAAAAGCAAGUCAAUGUUCGCAACAGUGACAAAGACUCCAUUCUGUUCAUCCGUAAAGCAGAGAUCAAAGACUCUGGCAAAUAUGAGAUUACAGUACAAAUCGACAGCCUAGAAGACAAAGCUACAAUUGAAAUACAAAUUAUAGAGAAACCUGGACCUCCUGCAAGCAUCAAGUUGGCUGAUGUCUGGGGAUUUAACGUUGCCCUGGAAUGGACACCACCCAAAUACACAGGAAAUUCUGAGAUUACAGGCUACACUGUUCAGAAGGCAGAUAAGAAGACAGGAGAAUAUUUCUCAGUUGCAGAGCAUUAUCACCGAACAAACUGCACUGUUUCUGACUUGAUCAUGGGGAAUUCAUAUAUUUUCCGAGUAUUUUCAGAAAACAGGUGUGGCCUCAGCGAGUCUGCAGCAGUGACCAAAGACGUCGCCCACAUUAAGAAAACUGGUUUAGUCUACAAACCACCAGAGUACUCAGAGCCAAACUUCUCUGAGCCACCUAAGUUCACACAGCCUCUGAGUGACAGGACUGCUACAAUGGGAUACACAACAAAGCUCAUGUGCUCCGUCAGGGGCAACCCAAAGCCUAAAGUUGUUUGGAUGAAAAAUCAGAUGGAGAUUGGAGAAGACCCCAAGUAUCGUGCACUUUCUGCUCAGGGGGUCUGCACAUUGGAAAUCCGCAAACCUUCUCCUUUUGAUGGUGGUGUGUAUUCAUGCAAAGCAGUCAAUGCACACGGUGAAGCUAAAGUGGACUGCAGACUUGAUGUAAAAACGGUUCAAGUUCCAGCUAAAUAGAAAAUUCUUCUGAUACUCAGUUCCACAGUAGGACCAGUUCCAAGAAGGAUGUCAUUUGGAAAAGUCAAAGUUUGUGUCUGUGGUCAUGUUGAGGACGGAAGGAAGGUGUUACAGCCAAGGAAAAAGAAGUAUAUUACAAGGACCUACAGUUUUCUUUUACAUGGACCUGCACUUUUUUUAUUUACAGUUAUGAUACCCACAUUGAAUGUUUCUGAAUUUUUCUGCAUUGUGCAUUUCAGUCUGCCGCUCUGACAAUAAAAUUGCUGAUAUACCUGUCUGUAACCAUUUUGCUUUGGCUGUGCCCUGUUUAGGAAUGUGAAAAGGAGGCAUUUUGAACGUAGAAUUGUAAUAAAUACAUUAUAUUAAAUUAUA